GACAGAGGAUGCAAACGUUGCUCGGAAUUACUGGGCGUAAAGCGCGCGCAGGCGGUCUCGUAAGUCGGGUGUGAAAUCCCGGGGCUCAACCCCGGAAGUGCACACGAUACUGCAAGACUUGAGUACUGGAGAGGAGAGCGGAAUUCUCGGUGUAGAGGUGAAAUUCGUAGAUAUCGGGAGGAACACCAGUGGCGAAGGCGGCUCUCUGGACAGAUACUGACGCUGAGGCGCGAAAGCGUGGGAAGCAAACAGG
rnacentral:rRNA from 1 species